rnacentral:rRNA from 1 species
GGCGGACGGGUUGAGUANCACGUGAGAAUUUGCCUUUAGGAGGGGGAUAACAAUUGGAAACGACUGCUAAUACCCCAUAUGCUUUCGAGUGAAAUGAAUUAUUUCGCCUAGAGAGAAGCUCGCGGCUGAUUAGCUUGUUGGUAGGGUAGUGCCUACCAAGGCGACGAUCAGUAUCUGGUUUGAGAGGACGAUCAGACACACUGGAACUGAGACACGGUCCAGACUCCUACGGGAGGCAGCAGUGGGGAAUUUUCCGCAGU